GUGAGCGCUCGUGAUAAACAGCCCGGAGCCGAGCCGCCGCGCAGCCGGGCGGGAGGCUGCGUAUCAGAGCUCCUGAUGGGGAAACUGAGGCCUGGAAACAGAGAACGGUGGGACCAAGGUCACAUGAUGGCGGAAGGAGGACAAGGAAGGAGGCUGACUGCGUAUCCAGCACGUGUUCCGUGCCAAGCCUGUGCAGGGGCCAAGGACCGGGGUCUCUGGACAGCGCCGGUUGCUGGGUCCCACGCUGGGCGACAGGGCCUUUGCAAUCAGGCCGACAGGGUUUGAACCCUUGCCGCGGCACUUUCCAGAUGGCCUUGGCCACUGUCCCCUCUCUGACCUUCAGAUGGAGCCCAUGGCACCUCCGGAGGGGGUGUGUGCUUCCAGGACCAAAUCCACUUGUGCGUGGUUAGGCACGAGGUGGGGGGAGGCGGCUCAGCCACCGGGACCUGUCCUGCCUCCACCCUCUGUGCAACCCCUUUCCUUGCCUUUUGUCUCUGUUGCUUUUGGGGGGUGAUUAGCCGCUAGCUCAGCGGCUAGAGGAUUCUCUCCCGGAAAAGGCUCCGGAGUUGAGGCCCAGACCCCCAGGGCAAGACGGAAUCUGCUCCCCAGGGCACUAACUGAGACUCGGUUCCCUCACUGGUAAAAUGAGAAAACUCACUUAUGGUCAGGGGUCCCCGAGUUAAUGCCAGUGAAUUCCUUGGCAGAGCAUCAAGCACUUGGAGAAGCCCCCACCCCCGGUCAUUGUGAUGAUGGUUUGUUUGUUUGUUUGUUUGUUUUGAGACGGAGUCUCGCUCUGUCGCCCAGGCUGGAGUGCAGUGGCGCGAUCUCGGCUCACUGCAAGCUCUGCCUCCCGGGUUCACGCCAUUCAGGGGAGUGGCGCCGAGACACCGUGUAGCGCCCAUGCCAAGGAGGAAGCGAGACAGCAGGAGCGGAGGAAAGAACCCCGGGCUGUGUUGAGGAAGCCUCCUACUUUUGCCUGAAGUGAGGUCUCCUAUAGAGAGAAGCGUUGACUGGGGACACUCGCUGCUUGCGUUUUGCUGGUAG
rnacentral:lncRNA from 1 species